CCUACGGGAGGCAGCAGUGAGGAAUAUUGGUCAAUGGGCGCGAGCCUGAACCAGCCAAGUCGCGUGAGGGAUGAAGGUUCUAUGGAUCGUAAACCUCUUUUAUAAGGGAGUAAAGUGUGGGACGUGUCCUAUUUUGUAUGUACCUUAUGAAUAAGGAUCGGCUAACUCCGUGCCAGCAGCCGCGGUAAUACGGAGGAUCCGAGCGUUAUCCGGAUUUAUUGGGUUUAAAGGGUGCGUAGGCGGCCUUUUAAGUCAGCGGUGAAAGUAUGGGGCUUAACCAUAGAAGUGCCGUUGAAACUGGGGGGCUAGAGUAUGGAUGAGGUAGGCGGAAUGAGUGGUGUAGCGGUGAAAUGCUUAGAUAUCACGCAGAACACCGAUGGCGAAGGCAGCCUGCCAGGCCAAGACUGACGCUGAUGCACGAAAGCGUGGGGAGCAAACAGGAUUAGAUACCCGAGUAGUC
rnacentral:rRNA from 1 species